ACACUCCUACGGGAGGCAGCAGUGGGGAAUAUUGCACAAUGGGCGCAAGCCUGAUGCAGCCAUGCCGCGUGUAUGAAGAAGGCCUUCGGGUUGUAAAGUACUUUCAGCGGGGAGGAAGGCGAUAAGGUUAAUAACCUUGUCGAUUGACGUUACCCGCAGAAGAAGCACCGGCUAACUCCGUGCCAGCAGCCGCGGUAAUACGGAGGGUGCAAGCGUUAAUCGGAAUUACUGGGCGUAAAGCGCACGCAGGCGGUCUGUCAAGUCGGAUGUGAAAUCCCCGGGCUCAACCUGGGAACUGCAUUCGAAACUGGCAGGCUAGAGUCUUGUAGAGGGGGGUAGAAUUCCAGGUGUAGCGGUGAAAUGCGUAGAGAUCUGGAGGAAUACCGGUGGCGAAGGCGGCCCCCUGGACAAAGACUGACGCUCAGGUGCGAAAGCGUGGGGAGCAAACAGGAUUAGAAACCCUGGUAGUCCCAU
rnacentral:rRNA from 1 species